rnacentral:piRNA from 1 species
UACACACUGGCAGUGGUCCGACAAC